GUGGCGUGAUUAUGAAUUUUUCAUGGAUCCUUGUCAUGAUCCAUGAAAAAUUCUACCAAAGUAGCAAUGUUGUGUUACAUAUGAUUAUUUUGUUGAUUAUUAUUGAUACGAUAAGAGCAUAUUCGCAAACAGUUUAUUAUUAACCCAUUCCCCCAUAAAAGAUUAUUAAGCGUGAAUACAAAUUGCAAAAGAAAAACAAAACACUGGAGCAAAACACGGUGCAGAAACCCGCAACUGCAGGAAAAAUAUUGAUCGCGGAAUCUGUCAGGCAUCGGAGCAUUUUGGACUUGACAUCUGCCAACAUUUGUAUUGCCAAGAAUUGACUAGAAAAAAAAGCCUCAUUCCGCUGUUGGCAACAUUGCGCUUCCGGAAGACGGCGCAGAAAAAUUGAGAAGUGAAAGUGCGCCAUUGGUGAGAAACACCGCCCCCCGGAAAAAAUCAUCUUUUCUCGGCCAGAGCCACAGUGGCAUCUCGCCGACAGCCAUCCAAGGAACCGGGAGAUCCCAGAAUCGGGUAGGGCUAAGGACGACCGGGAACGCACAGCGGCUCAAAACGAGGAAAAAAGAAAGGCGUUUUUUAUUCUAGUCGCCAAGCCACCAAUCCAGCGCCACACAAUCCGGUCGCUCUCAGCCCGGAAAGCGUACGAAGCGCAAGGAACCGUGCCGGUACAUACGGAACAAAGAGCCGACAGUUUCGACCGGCGUGUUUGCCUAUCAGCCCCGUCCAAAUCCGAGGCCCAGAAACAGGCGAAGGAAGAAGAGCCAUUAAAAGGGGUCAGGU